rnacentral:lncRNA from 1 species
GGAUGGCGUCCCAGUCCCAUCACCAAGAGCACGGCUGAUCCAAAGCCUAACGUCCCAGAGUGCAGAGUUUGUGAUGGAGGAGCACAUGCAGCUCAGCACUGGACUGUAGACCCAAGAGAGACACUUUUCAGUGACACACUCAUCAUCACUAAAUCAAAGUUAGUCCUCAGCAUCUAAAAAUAAUGUCCACUUACUGAACAAGUUGAAUAGGAAUAGAUGUGAACUAACAAUGGGAUAUUAGAAGUGAGCAUUUUGUCCUUCAUGUCAAUUGUGCAGAUUUGGAUCAUCUUAGGAUGAGUGGGGCACUUUAAUUUAAUAUAUAUAUAUAUAUAUAUAUAUAUAUAUAUAUAUAUAUAUAUAUAUAUAUAUACAGUGGGGCAAAAAAGUAUUUAGUCAGCCACCAAUUGUGCAAGUUCUCCCACUUAAAAAGAUGAGAGGCCUGUAAAUUUUUUAUGAAUUUAUUUACAAAUUAUGGUGGAAAAUAAGUAUUUGGUCAAUAACAAAAGUUUAUCUCAAUACUUUGUUAUAUACCCUUUGUUGGCAAUGACAGAGGUCAAACAUUUUCUGUAAGUCUUCACAAGGUUUUCGCACACUGUUGCUGGUAUUUUGACAUUUGAUGACAUCAGUUCAUCUGAGGCAAAGGAGAAAUGGCUUUCAUCUUUACAACGGCACAUCACCAAAUCCAAGAAAGUGGAAUAUCCCAGCAAUCUAACCAUGAAGGUUGUUCUCAUAAAUAUUGGAACUAGUGCAAUGGGCAGACCCACUGACUACCGGCUCUGGGUUGUCUCAGGGAGAGAGGAAGCCUCAUGCCCUCUUAUUGGUCAUGAGCAUCCCUUCAGUAUUAUCCUAAACUCCUUGAGGGAAACAGACUGCCAAGUCUCAGCAGUCACCAACAACAUCCUGACUGUAGAUGGGAGCCUCUACCUUGAGCACCUUCUCAAAGAUGCUUCCGGCCCAAACUUCAUCCUCAGGCUAAAGGCUGAUGUGGGAGGACUUGGCCGAGCAGUGGAGUCUUACCAGCUGGUCGACUCGUCUGAUUAUUGGGACUGAGAGAAGCAAGAAGGACUUCACUCUCCUAACAGGGAACCUUUUUCCUGCCAUUGGAGAAACUGGUCUUGAAAGAGAUUUUGGGGCUUCUGAAUGAGGUAGACUCCUUGAAAAAGCAACAUGUGACUGAGGACAGUGCUUAUA